CUACGGGAGGCUCCAGUGGGGAAUAUUGCACAAUGGAGGAAACUCUGAUGCAGCAACGCCGCGUGGAGGAUGACACUUUUCGGAGCGUAAACUCCUUUUAUAUAGGAAGAAGAUGACGGUACUAUAUGAAUAAGCGCCGGCUAACUCCGUGCCAGCAGCCGCGGUAAUACGGAGGGCGCAAGCGUUACGCGGAAUCACUGGGCGUAAAGAGCGUGUAGGCGGAUUAAAAAGUCAGAAGUGAAAUCCUAUAGCUUAACUAUAGAACUGCUUCUGAAACUCUUAAUCUAGAAUAUGGGAGAGGUAGAUGGAAUUUCUGGUGUAGGGGUAAAAUCCGUAGAGAUCAGAAGGAACACCGAUUGCGAAGGCGAUCUACUAGAACAUUAUUGACGCUGAGACGCGAAAGCGUGGGGAGCAAACAGGAUUAGAUACCCCUGUAGUC
rnacentral:rRNA from 1 species